ACGGGGGUCCUGGGGUGGUGGGGACGUGGCAGCCACCUGGCGGCUCAUCCCUUCUUCACUGGUGGCCAAGGCUCAGCUUGUCCUGCCAGACCCAGGACACCCCGUCCUUGGUGCCCCGGUCCCUGCUGCAGUACCGGCUAGCCGUGCCACGCCGCUUUCCGGGGACCACCCCCCCCCAGUUUCUUCCUUCCUCUCUUGCCGAAGGCCCAGCCCCGUCACACCAUCAGCCGGGGCUCACCCGGCACAGGGGUCCUGCUUCCUCCUCUCCCAUGGUGGCUGUGGUGGGGGCUCCUCUAGCGUGCUGAGAUACUACUGGUUUUACCGGGGCCGUGAAGCUCUUGCAGCACGGUGGUGAGCUGCGAAUGAGCAGUUAUUGCAACACAUCCCGCCGUGCGUGCGCCAGGCUCGUAACGCCCGUCUCGGCUCUUCAGCAAGUUCUCGAUCACCAAGGAAGCAUUUGAGGAAGUCCUUGGGCAGGCAGAGACCCCCUCCGCAAGCCGCCGGGGAGCCGGGCAUGGGCUGCGGGCAUGCUGGCCAGCUCGCCCCAUCCACCUCCCGCAGCUGAGCUGAGGUCCUGAUGCUGUCCUGAGCCUCGCCGGACGCAGGGGAUGCACUGAGCGGUUUGAGGUCUCUGCGGCCGGGGCCCUGCCAUGGAGGAGGGGGGGUCUCUGCUGGUGGCCACCUGGCUGGCUGCCCUCCACCUGGACCAGUAUGUGGAGAGCUUCCAGCAGAGCGAGCUGUGGACAGUGUGGGACUGCCGGGCACUGACAGACGAGGCUCUCACCCACCUUGGCGUGGUGCUGCCUGGCCAUCGCCGCCGCAUUCUCCUGGGACUGCAGAAAGCCUUUGCUGAGGUGACCCCGCCAGCUGGGACCCCCCAGCCCCCCGCCAGGAAACCUGUGCCCAUGAAACGCCACAUCUUUCGCCUGAGCUCCGUGACAGUGCCAGGGCAGCUGGAGCAGCCGGAGCAGCCGGAGCAGCCAGAAUCCCGGUGCCCGGCGGUGCCUGGUGGGUCCCCACUAUUGGAGCCGGAGGGGGCUGUGAGCUUCGCCCAGCUGCCCCCACCCAUCCCACCCAGGGUGGGUUGCCGCCCCCCCCUCAAAUUCUCCCCUUCGCUAACGGGUGGCAGCCCCAAGCCCCCGCCCCCGCCCCCCAGCCACCCCCCAGCCCCGAAGGUGCCCUCGCCACCGCCAGCCCUCACCAAGAAGCCCCUGACCGAAAGCAGGGUGAGACCCCCCCUGCCACCGCUGCCAGCCAAGCGUCACCAGCUGGAAGCCAAAUGCCAGUCUCUGCAGGCCCCCCCGCCGCCUGCCCGCCCGCCUGUGCUGCCCCCCAGAGCCAUGUCCCACAGGAGCAGCCCUGCCAAAGAGGAGGUCCCCGUCCCUGACAGAGCAGCCAGUGUCCCCCCGUCCCCACCAGCCCUCCUUCCCCGCACGAAGCCACCGGCCCCGCUGCUGCCGGAGCUGCCCUCCAAGGCCAACCUCCCCUUCGUGCCGGAGUUUGAUGAUUCAGACUACGAGGACUCCACCUGGGAGGAGGAAUUAGCCGGACCUGCUGGGGACAUGGCCGACAAGGGGAGGGUGGCGCAGGGAUGCCCGUGUCAGCCAUGGCUGGUACCACAGGAGGAUGCUGAGCCCGUAACAGGGCGGCCACGCUCCCAGCGCGUCAACAGCCUCUUCAGCGAGGACGAGCUCAUCGAGGACUACUACAAUGCUCCCCCUGCCAACGGUGGCAGCGUCUGGAGUGACAACAGCCCCAGCCCGCACCCGCCUGCACCCACGUUCUCCAGCAGCAGCCCCGGCACGCUGAGCGACAGCAUGGAGGGCACCGCCACUGCCCAGCUCUCGCCCACCAUCAAAGCAGGGUGGCUGGACAAGAACCCGCCGCAGGGGUCCUACAUUUACCAGAGGCGCUGGGUGAAGCUCGAUGCUGACUACCUCCGCUAUUUUGACAGUGAAAAAGACCCCUACUCUAAGAGGUUCAUCCCCGUCUCCUCCAUCUCCCGCAUCACCAGCAUCGGGGACCAGAAAUUUGAGGUCAUCACCAACAACCGCAACUUUGUGUUUCGGGCCGAGAGCGAUGCGGACCGUAACGAGUGGAUACGGACCCUGCAGCAGAUUGUGGAGGAGUGGAAGAGCAAAGCUCUGGAGAGGACGUCAAUAUCCCUGACCAUCAACGGUGCCACCGACCUGGUCGACAAGAGCGGCUUCCUGGAGCUGCGGGGGUUUAAGCACAAGCUGUUCGUGGUGGUGGCUGGGGACAAAGUUUUCCUCUACAAGAAUGCAGAGGACUAUCGCCUGGGCAUUGGCAUCACCUACAUUGAGAUGAACUUGGGGAAUGUCAAGGAGGUGGACCGCCGGGGUUUCGAUCUGACAACGCCCUACAGGAUUUUCAGCUUCUCUGCUGACUCGGACCAGGAGAAGGAGGAGUGGGUGGAAGCCAUGCAGCAGUCCAUCUCUGAGGCGCUCUCCAACUCAGAGGUGGCAGAGAGGAUCUGGGUGGUGGAAUCCAACCGCUUCUGCGCUGACUGUGGCUCGCCCAAGCCCGACUGGGCUUCCAUCAACCUCUGUGUUGUCAUCUGCAAGAGAUGUGCAGGGGAGCACCGGGGCUUGGGCCCUGGCAUCACCAAGGUCCGGAGCCUGAAGAUGGAUAGAAAAGUGUGGACGGAGGAGCUGAUUGAGCUUUUCCACCAGAUCGGCAACGCUGUGGCCAACCAGUUCUGGGCCGCCAACGUGCCCCCCAGUGAGGCCAUCACCCCCACCAGCAGCAGCCAGGAGAGGAGGCACUUCCUCAUUGCCAAAUACCGGGAGGGCAAGUACCGCCGCUACCACCCGCUCUUCGGCAACCAGGAGGAGCUCAACAGGGCUCUGUGCGCCGCCGUCACCACCAGUGACCUGGCAGAGACUCAAGCUCUGCUCUUCUGCGGGGCGGCGGUGAACUGUGCCACCGGGGACCCCCAGUGCCCCACGCCCCUGGCCCUGGCCGAGAAGAGCGGGCAGAGGCUGCAGAUGGAGUUCCUGCUCCACAAUAAAACCUCAGAGAUGCCACGCCUGGAGGUGGGGGGCAGUGAGGAGAAGCCCUACUCCGUGCCCCUGCCCUCUGUCACCCACAAUGGCUUCCUCUACAAGACCCCCUCAAUGGCCAAGCCUGUCAGCGAGCGGAAGGGCCUGGAAGAGUUCAGCCGGCGGUGGUGCACGCUGCAGGAUGGCAUCCUCAGCUACUAUGAGAACGACCGCAACGCCGUGCCCAAUGGCGAGAUCAAGGUGGAGGAGAUUGUGUGCCUGGUGAACAACUCACCCCACACCCACGGGAUUGAGAGCACGUUCGAGGUCUACAUCGAGACAGAGAGGCUCUACCUCUUUGGUCUGGAGAGUCCAGACUCCGCUCGGGAAUGGCUCAAGUCCAUUGCCAAGUCCUUCGUCCAUCCCCGUGCCGAGGAACUGCUGGCUCUCGACUUUGAGCGCAUCGGCCGACUGCACUAUAAGGGUGGCCUCAACCUGGAGCGAGCCAAGGAGGGCUGGUUCGCCCUGGCUGGCUCCGUGCUCCAUGUCUGCUUCGAGGACAGCGAGCGGCAGGAGCCACUCCAGCUGCGCAAGCUGCAGGAGCUCUCCAUCCAGGGAGACAACGAGGUGCUGGUGCUGGUGGAGAGGCGGAGGACUCUGUACAUCCAGGGGGAGAGGAAGCUGGAUUUCCUGGGCUGGGUCCAUGCCAUCCAGAAGGCUGCGGGCAGCUCGGGGGACACCUUGUCAGAGCAGCAGCUGACGGAGUUGGACGUCCCGCUGCUGGUGGACCGCUGCAUCGACUAUAUCACACAGUGUGGGCUGACAUCUGAGGGCAUCUACCGCAAGAGUGGGCAGAACUCGAAGACCACCAGCUUGCUGGAGAUGCUGCGCCGGGACGCCCGCAGCGUCCGUCUGAAGGAGGGCGAGCACCAGGUGGAUGAUGUUGCCAAUACCCUCAAACGCUUCUUCCGUGACCUUGGGGAUGGGCUCUUUACCCGACAGUGGGGCCAGGACUGGCUGCGAGCAACGGCGCUGGAGGAUGAGGAGGCGAAGAUCAGCGAGUACCGGCGGCUCCUGGGCACCCUCCCCACAGUGAACCGGGCCACGCUGAAGGCGCUUAUCAACCACCUCUUUCGGGUCCAGCGUUUCUCUGCGGAGAACCAGAUGAACACGCACAACCUGGCCAUCGUCUUUGGGCCCACGCUCUUCCAGACGGACGGGAAGGACUACAAGGCAGGACGAGUUGUGGAGGACCUCAUCAGCCACUACGUGAAGAUCUUUAAUGUCAAUGACCAAGAGAUGAAGAAGCAGCAGGAUGAGAUUAUGGCCAUCAUGAAGAUGCGCGAGGCAGCAUCCAGUGGGACUCAGCAAGCCGGGGACUUCAUCUGUACUGUCUACUUGGAGGAGAAGAAGACGGAGGCAGAGCAGCACGUCAAGAUUCCAGCCACCAUGACAGCCGAGGAGCUCACCUUUGAGAUUCUGGACCGGAGGAAAAUUGUCAUGAAGGAGAAGGACUAUUGGAGCUGCUUCGAAGUGAAUGAGAGGGAGGAGGCAGAGCGGCCCUUGCACUACUCAGAAAAAGUCUUGCCCAUUUUGCACUGCCUGGGGACAGAGAGCUACCUGGUGGUGAAGAAGCAGAUGUCCAUGGAGAACAUGCUCAUCUACCUCGCCAGCAGAGUGGGCGACUGCAAGCAUGGCAUGAUGAAAUUUCGGGAGGAGAGGAACCUGCUGGGGCUUGGCCUGAGCACUGGCUUCCAUGACCGCUACUUCAUCCUCAACAGCACCUGCCUGCGCCUCUACAAGGAAGUGCGGAGCCUGAAGCAGCGGACCCCCCACUUGGAGAACGUGAGUAGAGGCUGGGGGGCUCAGCCGGGGCGUGCAGGGGGUCCGGCGCCCUCUGCCCUUACAAGGCUGCCCAGGGUCAAUCCCAAAUCCAAUCCCGUGGUUGCGCGUGUGCCCAUCACUGCACGCUCCUGGAUGCGGCAGCCCCAGGCGAUGGGGAGCUCCGUGUGCUACAGCUGCCCUCAGUGCUGCCAUCCCUCCCCAUUAGCCCCCGUGUUAGGGGGUGCGUCAGCGUGCACCCCCAUUAUCUGGGGUCCUCCAGUCUGGGGGUACGGCUGCCCUUUGCUCCAGGCAGCUGGAGAUGGGGAUGGGGAAGGGGCUGGUGCUGCAUGGAGGGGAUGGGCUGGGCUGGCUCCCCCAUCCCACGGGCAUUGGAUCGGGCUCUUGUAAGUCAUGCUGCUUGCACACGAACGCAGCGGGCAGCCGUAUGUAUGGGGGGGGUCCCCAUCAUGUCACCCACUGCCGGGGCAUGGCUUGUGUGGCAUGGUGAGAUGCAGCUGGCACCUGGGGGGUCCCAGGGGGGAGGAGAGGAGGGAGCUGUGGGGCUUUGCCCCUUCGAAACGUCUGCCAGCGAUGGGCGAUGCCUGGCCUGGCUCGCUGCCAUGGUGCAGAGCGUGGGGAGGGAGCUGGCUGGGGCUGGCAGUGCCCUGGCUUUGCUGGGACGUCCUGCCUUCCCCCAUCCCUUUCCUUGGGAAGCCGCGCGGCACAGGGAAGGUGCAGCUUGCAGCCAGCACCCCAAAGGAUGCUCCGAUGCAGGGCGGGGAGCCCAGGACAGCCAAAGUGGGGCCGGGAAGUUGGGGUACCCACCUCCAGAGGUGCCCACCUGCCAUGCUGUGCCAUGCCGUGCCAUGCCGUGCUGGCGGUGGGGAUGUGGUCAGGGCAGAGAGAUGCCAGCAGAGCGGGGUUGGGGCCACUGCUGCCAUGGUCAUGGCCGUGAUGCUGAGGAAGGGUGUGAUGCGUGUGUCCCCAUGAAGGACAUGUAGUGCCAGGCUCUCAAGACCCCAUCACAAUGUGCUGGUCCCAGUUCCAAAGGCAACUGGCCCAUCUCUGGGGGAGCUGUGCCGCAGGGGCAGGCCUUCUGUGUCCCCUCUACCCGCGGGCGAUGGGCACACGCCCUGCCCUUUCCUCUGCUCCAGCCUGGGCUUCACCCUCAUCCUUGGCAAGCCCAGACAUGGGCUGAGCCCCUUCCCCGUCAUCCCUAUGGCUUAUCCUCCCUGGGGGACAAAACCCAGCCCAGCAUCGGUGUGGGCUGCAGUGGGUGGGGGCGAGUGAUGAAGGGUCUGGCAGCCCCCAACCUGGUGCCGGGUCCCUCUCCCCUCCCAGAGCCACAAGCCGGAGAAGGAGUGGCCCGUCAGGAACCUGAAGGUCUACCUGGGCAUUAAGAAGAAGCUUCGACCCCCGACAUGCUGGGGCUUUACAGUCUUCUAUGAAAAUGAGAAGCAUGAGAAACAGCAAUGGUAAG